CAAAUAAAAAGGAAGCUUGUUGAAAUUAAACUAGCCGAUUCCCAAGACACAACUGUACUCCAUUUCCUUCUCGUCCUUCCACAUCACUGUCUUCUCUAUGCUUGUCAAUAGUUGAUCCAUAUACCAUUUUCAGCUAUCUGUUUUAUUUCAUUAACCCCAAACAAAUCUCAAUCUGGGUUGUUCCUCUAUUUUCUCUCCGGUUGGAAAUGGUGUUGAGUCAGAUCCGGCCUUCUCUGGUACGUUUCCUCAUUCUUUCUCAAAGACUCCUUUGCCAGGUUGUGAGCAUAGGCAUUCUCUGUUCUUUUAAUAAACUGGAAUUUUAUUUCUUGAAACCUGUUCAUACUGCUAUGAAUGUCUCUGAUUAUUGUACCGAUGAUUGAUUUAUCCGAGUUCUUUAACUGGCAUUUUUUGAUAACUGUUUGAGAAUAUCCCAUAACCGUUACUGAGGGAAGUUUUAGCGAGAUCCCUAAUUGAACAUCUGUAAGCCUGCAUACGCCUCUGCAACAAAUGGAGAUGAAACCUUCCAGUUGAUCAUUGACUUAAAUGCAAGGAGUUCCCCCGUCUGACGCCAAACCACUAAUCCCGAUGCUGAUCUGUGGUUUCUGUUAUCGAGUGCAGCGUCAAACUGAAUCGUUGCCCUGGUGUUUACAUCUAUAGUGUUGCUUCUAUACCCCGUUGGAGAGCUUAUUUCGUGAACUCCAUUAAUCCACAAGCCACAGCAGAGCAAGCGACACUGUUGAAUAGCAGUAUUUUGAAAGAUCCAGGGCAAUUCAGAAAGACAUGCUCACUGUCUUCUUCUCCAUUCCCGCAACGAGGGAAUAAAGCACUAUUGAUCACUCGCUUAUGUUUUAGAUUUACAAAAUUCGGGAUAUAGUUCCAUGUAAUUCUCUAAAUUGCAAUCAGUAUUUUUUAGGGUAGUCUUAGAUUCCAAAGUUUUUUGUAGAAAUUCUUUGAGUCGGCCUGUAAAUAAUAAUAACUAGGAUCCAUGCUAGCUUCUUGUAAUAGUUUGUAGGCGCUUCUGACAGUGAAUUCUCCGGUCGAUUCUCCCUUCCACAUUUGAAUGUCGUUAGGAGGAAUUUUCGCAAGAGGAAUUUGCAUGAUUUGCAUGAUAAUAUCUGUCUUCCACAUUCUGGUAUUUGGAUCAAUUAAUUCUGAAACUAACUUGUACUCUUCACUUCUGUUUCUACUAUUCCACUCUUCAGGUUCCUUGCCUGGUAGCCAACGGUCCUCCCAGAUCGAGAUCCCGUCACCCUUUCCAACCCUCCAACACAGUCCAUUAUUUAACAAUCCCUUAGCAGCCUACACACUCUUCCAGGUAAGAAAAGGACGGAGACCUGAUCCUGAUUGUACCCGUGCUUUACUAUGGAAAAAGUUGUUUGAAAGUGACCCGCCGGCAAGGACAAAUUAUGCUAAAAAAAUAAAAACCUAAAAUGCAUGCCAAUAGGCAGACGUUUUCGUGCUAGGGUAGCAGACCAACUUUUUUAUUAAAAAUAAUUUUUUAAAUAUAUAACUUUUAAAAUUUUAGAA